GAUGAAGAACGUAGCGAAAUGCGAUACGUAAUGUGAAUUGCAGAAUUCAGUGAAUCAUCGAGUCUUUGAACGCACAUUGCGCCCCUUGGUAUUCCGAGGGGCAUGCCUGUUCGAGCGUCAUUAUAACCCCUCAAGCUCAGCUUGGUAUUGGGGCCUGCCAUCCUGGCAGCCCUUAAAAUCAGUGGCGGUGCCAUCCGGCUCUAAGCGUAGUAACUCCUCUCGCUAUGGAGUCCUGGUGGAUGCUUGCCAUUAAUCUUUUAACUUCUAUGGUUGACCUCGGAUCAGGUAGGGAUACCCGCUGAACUUACGUAUAUCAAUAAGCGGAGGA
rnacentral:misc_RNA from 1 species